rnacentral:rRNA from 1 species
AUUGAACGCUGGCGGCAUGCUUUACACAUGCAAGUCGAACGGCAGCACGGGAGCUUGCUCCUGGUGGCGAGUGGCGAACGGGUGAGUAAUAUAUCGGAACGUGCCCAGUAAUGGGGGAUAGCCCGGUGAAAACCGGAUUAAUACCGCAUACGCCCUGAGGGGGAAAGCGGGGGAUCGUAAGACCUCGCGUUAUUGGAGCGGCCGAUAUCUGAUUAGCUAGUUGGUGGGGUAAGGGCCUACCAAGGCGACGAUCAGUAGCUGGUCUGAGAGGACGACCAGCCACACUGGGACUGAGACACGGCCCAGACUCCUACGGGAGGCAGCAGUGGGGAAUUUUGGACAAUGGGCGAAAGCCUGAUCCAGCCAUGCCGCGUGAGUGAAGAAGGCCUUCGGGUUGUAAAGCUCUUUCGCAAGGAAAGAAAACUUACCCUCUAAUACAGGGUGAGGUUGACGGUACCUUGAUAAGAAGCACCGGCUAACUACGUGC